rnacentral:rRNA from 1 species
UACGGAGGGGGCAAGCGUUGUUCGGAAUUACUGGGCGUAAAGGGCGCGCAGGCGGCUGCUCAAGUCAGGCGUGAAAGGCCUGGGCUCAACCCGGGAAUUGCGCUUGAGACUGGGCUGGCUUGAGUGCGGGAGAGGAUGGUGGAAUUCCCAGUGUAGAGGUGAAAUUCGUAGAUAUUGGGAAGAACACCGGUGGCGAAGGCGGCGACCUGGUCCUUGACUGACGCUGAGCGCGAAAGCGUGGGGAGCAAACAGG